CCUCACCUUCACUCCAUUUCAGUCUCUGCUUCAAAAAAAAAAAAAUUCACGACUCUCAGUUCUGCUAUCGCCGAAACACCACCACCAUGAGAAAGCCAUUAAACCCAAACCAUUUUCUCUUCGAUUUUUCUCUGAAAACCAUUUUCUCUUCAGAAAACCUACCACCAUUAAACCUUCGAGAUAAAUCUUUCUCUUGAUUAUAUUUUUCUUCAGUCCUUCUCUUAAAAACCCACCACUAUUUUCUCUUCAAUAAUCGUCGUGCUUGAUUUUCUAUAGGAAAAGUUAGGGUUUGCAAUUUUUUUGGUGGAUUUUUAGGUCGAUUUAAAAGAAGAAGAAUCUUAAUUGAAGAGUCUACACAGUGGUUUUGUUCUAGGGUUUAUUUCUGGGUUUGUUAGUAGAAAAUGAUUUUUAGGGUUCAAAUUUUGGGUUAUUUUUACUGUUUUGACUGUAAUUGAAGUAAAUUGGGUUUAUAAAUAGUGGAUAGUUGAAGUAAUUUGAGUUUAUAAUACUUUGUGGUGGAUCUAAUUGAAGUAUUUGGGUUUGUAAUUGUAUGAAUUGUCUAGUUUUGCUUGUGAAAUCAUGAUGUUCAGAUUUUUUGGGUAUUUGAUUGUAAACAAAUUAGGGCUUAUGUUGAGAAGUGUUAGGACAUGUUUCUAGGUUGAGAAGGACAUAGAAGGAUGGGGAUGAACGAUAACAUAUUAAAGGUGUUCGAUUGUUUGAGAGAGAUUAAGAAAAGCUUCAGAUUCUUCUACAUUUUCAUUGUAGAACAAAACGAAUGAGAUCCUGAGGGGAAAAUCACAAAGAACAUGAAAUAGGAAGCCCAAAGUGUAGGGAUAAGGUUGCAAAUCUCACCUUGGAUACUGCAGAACACACAACUGGUAUAUUGAGAAGUUUGCUAAGCACCCAAGUGAGCAACAUGCCAUUAUCCCUUUGUUUAUUGUUCAUUGUGCCUAAGUUCGUUUUGUGGCUUGUUCAAAUAGAUGACUUUUUUUUUUUUUCAAACCCA